GUGGUGGCUGAGGACAUGGUGCUGGACGGUUGUAGUUGACAUGGCGGGGCAAGAACACUCCUGUCCCCGAUGACCCUCCUCCUGGUUUUGCCCCUGAAUUGGCUUGUGAGGUGCUUCCUUGAGCCUGCUUGGCUUGUGUGGCUGCGGAGCUUUUUUGCUUCAUAAACUGCUGCUGCUGCUGGUUCUGCCUCCGCUUCUGAUUCUACAAGGAGGGUUGAGUUUUGAAUCAGCAAAGAAAGAGUUUUGCUGAAAACGUUGUGUGAAAUAUCCAGCCCUCCACGCUCUACAACUACCGGCGUCGAUGGCGGCGAUGGCUCCUUGGAAGGCCCUUCUGGACUUCCGUAGCUGCUCUCAGUGCUAGAGCCUAGUGGUGACCACAGCGUUGAAAUUGGCGAACUAGACAAACCCCAUGGCUACCAAAACAGAAGACACCCACAAAAUAAUGAAAACAGAGGAACAAAGAAUUUGACAAACGCCCUGAAAUCUCUUCCACUCCUUACUAAA